rnacentral:lncRNA from 1 species
UGGCCCCAGAGGGCGGGAGGCAGUCGUGGGGGGUUUCACGUCCCCCAGGCGCCAGCCAGCCCCUCAGCACGGCCGCGGGCUCAGGGGACCCUGCAGCGCCCCGCUAUGCCCCCGCUGUGCCCGGACGCCGCAGGGCUCCCGGCGAGGCUCAGCCCAAGGAGCAGGGGCUGAGGCUGCAGGCAAGUGACCGACAGGGAAAUGAGAGUUUCAUUGUGUUUCAGGCCGAAAAGUGUUUGAAAAAUGCAGCAAGCUGCCCUGCACGUGGCUGCGGCUCAGGGAGCUGGCUUUCUGGCACAGGGCUUGUGGACAGAAAACUUUCACUGACUCCAGUCAAGUUCGAGCACUGAAAACUGCAGUCCAGGACAUUAGUCUACAGCCACGCAGAAAGUCUCUGAAUAGAGCUGUAGACUGAAUCCCCUGAGCCUUCAUGGUUAAGUCUGCCUUUGUACCAGCUCUGAAUUGCCAUGUCAGUCAACAUGCUUUAUGAGCUAUUGACAGAUGGCCUCUGAAACCUUGCUGCUGUGAAGAGUCUUUUCCUGAUCUUCAGGCACUUGUAGUUCAUCUCUGGACCUUUUUCCAGUUCCUCAGGCUCCAUUCUAAAUCAGUGCUGAAGUGCCACGCUGCCAGUGCUGGUUUGUGUGGGCUCUGGGCCCCUUCCUGUAUCAUCCAGGUGGAUUCGUGUCUUGGCAGCCUGGCUCAUAGCAGCGGGAGGCCAAGGCUUCAGGGGCUUCCUGGAUGGGCAGUGUUAUGAAACAGGUAAGCACUGAGUGUCUCUGCCUGCCACUCUCCAGGGAAUAGGCUUUGCAGGGCAGCUCGCGCCACGCGGCGAGGCACUCCCGUCUCCGGGAGUCAGGGCCAUGUCAGAACAAUGGGUGGAGAGCAGGAAACGCUGCAUGGGAAACAGGAUUUUGCUCCACCGCCGCCAGCCGCGGCCCCUUGGCCUCCUUCCUUUCCCUUGCUGAGCCCUGCUCAAGAGAGCUCUUCCCAGAGCCGUUAGUCCCCCCAGCUCCCCGGCGCCUCUCUCGCGCCAGACAUCCCCACAGGCGUUGGGAGCGUGCUGAAGGGCCGAGAAUACUGCUGUGCAAACGGGCUCCGGCGUGAGAUCUUCUCCUUGCGGGUGAGGAAGGGGGCUGAGAUGCCUCCCUGCCAGACUGGAGGAGUCAGCAUGGCUCUGGGUGCCUUGAAUACGCAGCUGUGAUUCCUCCGGGAACGGGGUCCCUGCUGCCCGACAGAUCUGCAGCUGGGGAACAGGCCUCGGCGGCUUCUUUGCCGCAAAGACCUGCUUGUGCUGUUCUGUUCCCAUCAUCACCUGGGCUGCCUGCGCCGAUCCCCAGGGCUGGCUGAGAU